UACAGAGGUCUCAAGCGUUGUUCGGAUUCAUUGGGCGUAAAGGGUGUGUAGGUGGCGCCGUAAGUCAGGUGUGAAAUCUCGGGGCUUAACUCCGAAACUGCAUUUGAUACUGCGGUGCUUGAGGACUGGAGAGGAGAGACUGAAGUUCAUGGUGUAGCAGUGAAAUGCGUAGAGAUCAUGAGGAAGACCAGUGGCGAAGGCGGGUCUCUGGACAGAUCCUGACGCUGAGGCACGAAGGCUAGGGGAGCAAACGGG
rnacentral:rRNA from 1 species